rnacentral:rRNA from 1 species
GACUGAGCUCAGGCAAGACUACCCACUGACUUAGC